UUCAAAAAUCAAAACCCCAACUCCAAACCCUACCGAAACCCCUUUCUCCCUCACCUCCCCAUUCCACUCCAACACCGAGCGAUCUCCAUUUCCUUCUCAAUCUCCAUCUCCAUCUCCAUCGAUAUCAAUCGAGGAUGAAGCUGAUCUCGGCCUCGGAGAUGAUUCUGAUCCCCGAGGGAGGUGGUGGCGGUGAAAGCGAGGGCGAGGGCGAUCGGGGUGGAGGGGCCGCACGGUGAGCUAAUGCCGCGACUUCGAUCACCUCGAUCUCGACCUCGAGCUCGUCCAUGGCGGCGCAAAUGCUCAGGAUCUCGCCCUGGUUAUGCACGGAGCCUCGUCGCGGGGGUCACUGAGGGCUUUCGUUACGAGAGGUGCUUCUUGUACGCUCAUUUCCCCAUCAACAUCUCCACCACUGAAUCCGGCACCUCCGUCGAGAUCAUCGUGAGAAGAAGGCUUGACAGCAACUAGAUAGAAGCAUGAAGCUUCUAUUGCUGCCAAAUGUUAUUGCAAGACAAACAAACAAUUGACUAGAGGCUAGUUGGAUGGUAGAUUACAUACCUCGUAAAGUCUUAUGGUUUCACGUAAGCACAACACCCCUAAAUUUGCCAUGUUAUCAGCUUUAAAUUUCUAAUGAGCAAUUUAGUCCGUUGAAAUUUUUCCUUUCAUAUAUAUUUAUUUCCACAAUGAUAUAAAUGACAAUAAUAUCAUCUCUCUUUCCUUUUUUUUUUUUUUAUUUCCAACAUGUGGGUGCACAUCUCGUUUAGGAAGAAGGUAAAGUCAUAACAAUAAUGUUUGAAGUUUGCAAAACCUAAUUGUUUAUGAAUUCUUGGGUAAAAUGCAUUGGUAGUACCUGGACUUC